rnacentral:rRNA from 1 species
CCCGGCGACCGGCGCACGGGUGAGUAACGCGUAUGCAACCUGCCCGUUUCAGCGGGAUAACCCGGAGAAAUCCGGCCUAAUACCGCAUGUGGCCGAGGGGAGGCAUCUUCUUUCGGCCAAAGGAGGCGACUCCGGAGACGGAUGGGCAUGCGUGACAUUAGCUUGUUGGCGGGGUAACGGCCCACCAAGGCGACGAUGUCUAGGGGUUCUGAGAGGAAGGUCCCCCACACUGGUACUGAGACACGGACCAGACUCCUACGGGAGGCAGCAG